AACAUAAAGGGGCAGACUGAAGCUGAUAACCCAAUUGCUACAUUACAAGUAAACAUGAGUAAACUCAAGAGACUCAACAAGCCUUUUAUUUCAGGAAGCAACCAAGGUAUAUUGACUGCCCAACCCAUGAAAAAUGAAAAAGAAAAUGUUCUCCCACGGAAAGAAGGUUUUUUUUGUUUUGUUUUGUUUUUGUUUGUUUGUUUUUUGUUUUUUUGUGGAAUAAAGGUUGAAGCCAAAGAGAUUGGUGCUC
ensembl:processed_transcript 5530601H04Rik RIKEN cDNA 5530601H04 gene